rnacentral:lncRNA from 1 species
CCAAUUCUCAACCAGCAAAGUGGUAGUGACUCAGCAUGAUGAUGGAGUCACACCAGGGUUCGAGUAACGAUAUUGGUACUCCCGAGUGAGAAGGAAAAGUGUUUCCUCUCGACUUCCAUCGAGUGACGAUGGUUGGCUUCCAUUGAAUGUCAAUGGAUGAUGAUCGACUCCCAUCGAGUGACGAUGGUUGGCUUCCAUUGAAUUUCAAUGGAUGAUGAAUGACAUAAGAGCUUAGACGUAAGCUCCGCAUGACCGGACUGCAGUCUGGUUUUGGGUCUUCCCUGAAGUGAAGAUUCGUGGUCGGGAAUGUCUAUCACAGAGAAUCAUGCCUUUGGUGAUAGCCGAAUUGAGGUAAUCCAAAUUACCUCUUUUUGUUCUUUUUAAAAAAACUUAUUCUUAAUUCAACUUCUGUUACUAGAAACGAGGAACAGAAAAAAAAGGAAGAUUAAAAGACAAUAACUUGGUCUCAAGGGUUCACCAUUUUAGAUUCCUUGAUAAGCACGUUUAGCAGGAAAACCUUGUAAAACCCUCAAGGGUUUCCAAUGCGUCUCCUUUGGAUAAUACAAUCUUGACUCAUGAAGAUUAACAGAAAACAACAUAUCAUCAAUCACACAAGACGACGGCUCUUGCCACAGAUCACUCAACUUAUCUAAUCCCCUCCAUGACUUCAAAUUAGUUUCUUUGGGUUCCUAAGCAUAAUAACAGAACAGUGCUUAUCCUUCAUGUAAAUCUUCUCUACCAUCACCACAUAUAUGUGAAUAUAUCACAAACUCAGUAGGUUCGUACAGACACUAACUAUCUACACUUCCGAUGGCAACCUUUCGCAUGUCUUCUCCCCAGGUACUUUUGGACAUGUAUGACUAUUAACCACUAGAGUUUUAAAUAGUUAGAAGAAAAGCUAAGGUUUCGAUUGGCUCAUCAGACACUAAUUUUUGCGUUUGCGUUUUAAAUAUAAAAUAGAUUUUGUUUUUCAAUAUAAAAUACGUUAGCAAUAUGUAAACACAAACUUGUUUUGUUUAAAGAUAGUAAUGAUUAUCGUUGCGCUUUUCAUUUUAUUCUCUUGUUCAAUGUUGUUUAUCUGUAUAUUAGAGAAGAGCACAUAAUUACGUAACUUGUUCUUGAAAUCUUUAAUGUGAACCAUAUUAAACCGAGAUUGGUUUAAAUAAAAGCUUUUCAUUAUAUUCUCUGCCUGAAUCUUUGCUUAUACGAAAAUAAUCAAAGCACAUGAGGGUAAUUUAUUUAUGGUUCAGGAAAUCAGUGAAAACCAUCUAUACUAUUAUUUUUGCAGUCAUUUUGAUGACGGGUGAGUAAAAAUAUUUCUGGAUUAUUUGGAUAUCCGACCCGUUUCAAAAAAUCUUUCACAAAUAUUUUUUUUAGUGAACCAGAGUAAACCCGGAAUUUAGCUGUGUUUAAGUAUUUAUUACAUAGGACAAAGGUCACCAAUUCUCACCCAGCAAAGUGGUAGUGACUCAGCAUGAUGUGAGAGUCUCACAAUGGCGGAUCUAGAAAAAUUGUUUGAUGGUGUCAAAAUAAGUUGGUUCAAAAAAAUUUACAACCCGAUAAGAAAUACAACCAUAAAUAAUAUCCAAAAUUUUUUUUACAACGCCGAUAUAGAUCAUUAUAACGUAACAUAAAAAAAAUUCAUCACAAAUCUUCAUCUUAAAGAUAUAUCCUACGCUCACUCAUGUUUUGGAAACGUUUGAUCACCGUCUCGUUUGUAACAGAUUCAAGAACCUGUUUUUCGAUGUAACACACAAGACAAUCACUUAAGAACUGAUCACCAAUACGAUUGCGCGAUGUUGUCUUCACAAUAUUCAUAGCUGAGAAGCAUCUUUCAACGGUUGAGGUCGGGACGGGUAAAAUUAAAGAUAGCUUCACAAGUCGAUAAAUCAAAUGAUGUGAAAGAUGUUUCCUUGUCUUCACCAUGACCUCAGUAAGAUCUCCAAGACUCUUUAGAUUAGUAAAUCUAUCAUCUUGUUGCACAUUAUCAAGAUAGAUGUCUAAUUGAUGAUCAAGAGAUUUUCGCUCCACGAAACUAAAAUCAUCCGGAUAAAACUCAGCCAAUCUCACGAGCUUUGAUUUGUCAAAUUCACAAAAUGAAUUAAUCGGACUUAAGGACGCCGUGCAAACAAGUAGUUCAGAAUUUACCUCGUUAAAACGAUCAUUAAACUCUUGAAGUUGCAUAUCUAAGACCGUGUAGAAACAAUUCACCUUAUAAUGAUGUAAAUUGCUUAUAUUUGUCCUUUUCCUUGGCAUUCUUGAAUCAACAAAGUCUCCCGCCAUAUUGAGCAUUUCCGUGUUAUAUUUCUCAGUAAAGGAAAGAAUUGUCUCCAUAAAUGCAUCCCAUCCAUCAUCUCUAAGCUUCUGCAACUGUCGUUUAGUGGACUUCACCAAUGACAUGGCAUUCAAAAUAUCUUGAUCUCUUCGUUGUAGAGCCAUUGAUAAGUUAUUAGUGAGUCCGACAAGAAGUAGCAUCAACUGAAGAUAGAAGACAAAAUCAAACGUGUGAAAAUAUUUGAGGAGGCCGUAUGCUUGUCUUCUUUUGGUGGUCUCACUGCCUUCGUCUUGUACAUACUCGAGAACCUCAAUGACGGAAGAAAACAACUCAACAAGUCGAAGUAAUGUUUUAUAAUGUGAGCCCCAACGAGUACUUCCGGGUCUUUGAAGUGAAAGCUCUUGAUUCUGUCCCGUUCCACUUUUAAUUUCACCAUUACUAAUCCCUUCUUCUACUUUCUUUCUAUGACUUUCUCGAAUCAUGUCUUUUCUCUUACAUGAAGCUCCAACAACAUUCAUCAAAACUGAAAUCAUAUCAAAAAAGUUUCCAACUUCAAAAUGUUUUUUUGCGAUUGCCACAACAACUAAUUGAAGUUGAUGAGCAAAGCAAUGAACAUAAUGUGCAGAGCUACUUUCUUUCGAAACCAAUGAUCUCAAUCCAUUGAAUUCCCCCUUCAUGUUGCUAGCUCCAUCAUAACCCUGCCCUCUCACUUUUUUCAUACUCAAUCCAUAUUUAGAAAACAGAGAAUCAAUAGCAUGUUUCAAAGAUAUCGCAGAAAUAUCCUUCACAUGAACCACACCAACAAAUCUUUCUUUGAUGAUCCCAUAUCUAUCAACAAAACGCAAAACCACAGCCAUUUGCUCUUUAUCGGAGACGUCGGCAGAUUUGUCCACAAGCAAACCAAAGACAUCGUUAUCAAUUUCCUUAAUAACAGAUUUAAUCACUUCUUCAGCAAAGCAAUUGACAAUAUCCUUUUGAAUGGGAGGAGACACCAUUUGGUUGUUCUUAGGAGCAUUAUUCAGCACCACUUUUUUAUAGCCUCAUUUUGAUGAGCAGUAUAUCUUACAAGCUCUAAGAAGUUUCCUUUAUUUGCUGACUUUUCUGAUUCAUCAUGGCCACGAAAAGGCAAUCCUUGGUGUAGCAAGAACCUUGAAGUAUCAAUGGAAGCAUUCAACCUAAUACGAUACUCAUUUUUCACAAUAUCACUUUGCUUAUGUAGAGAAUGUAUGAUGGACUGACCUUGUCUCAUCAAGUAGUCACACUUGUUUUUGGCAUUAUUGUGUAAACUGCCCACACCACCAACGUGAGAAGCCAACCUGUCUGCCUUAUUCCAACCAUAAAAGCCCUCUGUUACAAAAGCUUCAUUACCACCUCGUUUUGCAACGGGAUCUCUAAAUAAAUAACAACACAAACAGAAAGCUUCAUCUUUUUCCACACUAUACUCCAACCAAUCACCAUAUUUAUCAAACCAUUUUGGAUUAAACCGCCUCUGAAAAUCUCCUAUCUUUCUUUGUGGAAAAAUAUGUGCACGAGGUUGACAAGGUCCUCUAGUCAAAUAUAUGCGCCUUACUUCAUCUCUUUGAUUAGGAUGAUAGUCCAAUAUUCUUUUUCGAUGAGCCGGAUCACAUGGCAAGUCAUCCAAAUUAUCAUUAGGUGGUGGAGAUUUUCUCUUUAAAAACCGAUCAAUUGAUUCCAUUGAUUUCGAACUCACCUAAAGAAAAAGAAAACAAGUUGAUUUAGUGAGAUAUGUAAUAAAAACAGAAUGUAGAUAAAAACAAUGGACACAUGCACACAGCACAGACCUUUCUUUUGAGUUUUGAAUAAUUUUGAACAAUUUUUAGAUAUACACAAACACAUGAUAUGAACUCUGUACAAAGAUAUACCUCAUAUUUUCUUAUCAAAGCUCAAAUUUUAGUAUUACUAAGUACUAACUACUUUACAGUUUGUACCAAUAAUUAAAACAAAAUUGUUAACUGUUCUUAUAAGUUUAUCAUUUAGUUUAUUAGCCUACAAGAACAACUGAACAAGACUACAACAAUGAAUUAAAUCAAUGGCAAUUGACAAUAUAUCAUCAUAUUUUAAGCGUUUGUCAAAAAGCAAAAAUCAAACAAUUUUAAUGUAUGAAAAACUGAAAGUUUGUUACCCAAAAUUGAAAUUUGACAACGAUAGUUUCUCUGAGAGAGAAAAAAAGAAGGAUGAAGACGCAGUCUUGUGAAGACGUGAAGUGAGAUUCUCUUGAGAAAACGAAUCGUCUUUCAUACGACACCAUUAUUAUUGAGUUACUACAGAUUACAAUUGGGUUGGAUUAAAAUGAUUGGACUCUAUAAUUUCAAAUAAUUGGGCUUCACAUUUGCUUUUAUAAGUUGAAUUGGGUCACAUCUGUGGAUGUCGGAUUCACACACUCAAGUAUUUUAUUAAGUUGGAAAGAUAAUUCUUGAGGGACAAAAAUGAAUAUGUAAAAACUUCUAAAUUGCUACGAAAAUUACUAUAGUAUUUCUCCCUUGAGAGGAAGAUCCCCUCUACACGGCGAUUGGCCUUUAUAUUUAUACAUAGAGAAUCGACAUUAAAAUGAAUAAUUAAGUACAAUUAUUCCCUCUUAAAUGUGUCCGUUUUGAUUCUUCGACUUUAAUGCUCAACGUUUGAAUUUGAGUUGACUCUGAUCUUCAUGGGCCUCGUCUUUUUGGCCCAAGUGUCCUUGAACCGACUUACCCGUGUCUUCUACACCGAACUCGUGUCACAGUGCAGCCACUUCGAACUCUCGAAGUGGUGACAACCACUUCGACCGUUCCUUCGGCUCAUGGGUUCAAUGGGCUUUGUCCUUUAUGGGCCAUUACCUCGACUACGUGGCAAUCUUUGGUUGGUCUCGGACUUCUGGUGCGGGAUCCGACACCAACAAUUAGCCCCCCAAGUUCUUCGAAGUGUCAUUCCAAUUCGGAGGACUUUAAAUGCUUUAAAUGACCAAAGAUUGCGCUCGAGAAUCUUCCUGAUUUUCCGCCGAAAAUCUCAUCACUCCUUUAAUUUCGGCACUAACUAUUUUUACCCGAUUGACAUCUGUCAUCAUUAUGACCGUAUAUUAAUUAAUUACUAUUAAAACGGGAAAAAACCUUCCCACUUCCCACACAACUUCCGAGGCUGUUUCAUCAUUAGCUUGAGGUAACUUCUUUUCACCAUUACUUCCUUCUUUUACUUUUGUGCUUUAAUCAAAGCUUCUUUCUACCUUUCUUCACCGAACCUCUCUUCGCCGGAUCUUGAAUUUUUCAUUUUUAUCCGAUGACUUCUGAUUCUGAAAGACCUGAAUCUCCGUCUUACGACGAGAGGUGUUCUAGUAAUGACGAAUGCACUCGUCCUAACGAUAUCGCCGGUCCUCAUUACAAAUCCACCUGUACUCUUCAAUCCCUUGAGCGAUUAAAGGGGCUUUGUCAAAUUCCUCCUGGAAUUAUAGCGGAGGCGCAAAUAGCCGAUCCUACGGAAUCCCCGGAGAACCAUCGUGCCGGUUACUUUUGUGUUUACGAAAUUUACUUCAAGGGCUGCGGAUUGACCUUCCCCCUUCCCGAAGCCCUAGUUCGAUUCUUGGCGGCUCUCGAGAUUGCUUUACCUCAAUUACCCCCAAUCUCCUCCGAACCAUCCUCGGGAUUAUAACCGUUGCGGCGGAGGCUGGCUACGUCAUUGGAGUCCCCGAGCUGAAUGAACUUCUAAGUGUGAGAAGUUCGUCAAAGAAAACAGGAUACUUCUCGGCAUACCCAAAUGCCAAUAGAAACGUCAUCUCGCACCUCCCGAACAAGGAUGAAAACUGGCACCAUCCUUGGUUUCUGAUUAAGAAAACUCCUGCUUCGAUUGGGAAUCUUUCCGAUGUACUCCCAUCGAAGUUGUCUACGAAACUUGGUAGAGACUAGGUCGUAUAUUCCUUUCCUGUUCAUUAUUAUUUCUUUACUGACCAAAUUCGUUGUUUUAUUUCGCAGCUCUCAUUGCUUCAACUCUCCCGACCGAAGAAUUUGUCAAGUUCUUCAAAACAAUCCUUGAAGGGGAAACCCUUUGGAAUUCUUUCACCCUCGACCGGUUUGUCGAGGCCAACCGAAAACUCAGGAUGAGUCCUCCCAAUCUACUUCAUCGUCUUCCGCCUCUUCCCUCAACUCAGAGAAUGUCAGCUCGGGCCCUCACUGCCCAGCGUAAGAAACUCUCCAAGCCGAUAGCAGAGGCUUGUGAUGAAAACAAGGCGUUCCUUGCGACCGCCAUCGACAAAAAAGAUUACAGCAGGACCCUGCUGGUUGAUGACAACAGCUCCGAGGGAGCCAGAUCCGUUGCUGCUUAUAGGUUAACACCUCAUCGCGAACGCCGUGACGAACGUUCUCCUCGGAGAGAGCGAUCUCCUCGUCGUGAUUCUCCUCGUCCUUCCUGGGACGAUUUCAGCAGUGAACCACUUAAGAAUUUGGUUCGUAGGAAGAGGGACAAGUCAUCCCGUAGUGACUCGUCUCCGCGAAGGGAGAAAUCAAGGGCCCGGACUGACCGUUGACCUUGAUCGUCUCCUCCUACUGAACCAAUGGGUCCUCCCCGUCCUGUUGACAUGUCUUCUUCUUCUCAGCCCGACAGCGAAAAGACUGCUCGGAGCGCAUCUCCUAAAAAGGGAGAUUCUGAAUCUCGAGAUGCUUCCUCGAGGUUAAAGCCCGUUCUUGUCCCUCAAGUCAAAUCGCUUUCAGGUUUGGUGAUUUACACAUACUCUAGCGUUUUUGUUUCUACUAAGAUUUCGAUUUUUACAACUCUUCCUUCUUCGCAGCUAUGGAGAAAGAAGGCAGCGUCUUCCGAUGCUUCAAGACCCGAUCGGGUUCAAUCUUGCCAGACUUCGACAAAUGGCGCCCUACGAUUCGUGAAUGCUACUCGCUUCACGCGCAUCACUCAUCUCGGGUUAGUUCUGUUUUUUGUUUUUUUUUUAUUACAUUGCCAUUCUGCAAACUGACUCGCCAUCCCGGGUUUAUGUAUAAUGCCAGGCUCAUAACGAACUUAACGACAUGAUCGAACAUUACGAAGGGUUGGUCAUUGGACGGGAGAAGGAGAUUGACGUGUGGAAGAAGAAGCUCUCUGACCUUGAGGCUGAACUCAGUUCUACUGCCGGCUCCUAGCACGAUCUGGAGGACAAGGUCGACAGUUUAACAUCCGAGCUUGCGCAGAUAAAGGGGGAGCUGCAAGACCAGUACGAUCAGAACUACAAACUCCAGGAUGAACUUUCUGGUGUUCAGGGUAGACUUCAUGCAUCCGAAUCAGCCGCCGAUGCCCUGAACAACCAACUUAUCGAGCUUGACGCGAAGUACAAGGCGCUGGCCAAGUUGCGUGAUUCCGAGUUGGCAAGGUCGGCAUCGAAGGCCAGAAAGGAGGUUAAGGGACGCGGGAUGGAGUUAAUCCAAGGGGCCAUCCGUUUCAUGCAAACCGAGAAGGCUAGGUCAGACUUGGAAUCAGACAUCAAGGAGCAUGAGAGCAACCUGAUUCUGUUGGAUCAAAUCCAUGAAGCAGAUUUCUCCGAGGAGCAAGAAAGGACCGAACUGUCAACUAAUCUUUCUGAAAAACGGAGUCGCUUGGCAGCUAUUCCCACUUCGACCUUCAACCCGCUUGACUUCGAGGAAUUCUUUACUGAAUCACCUCCUAUAAGUGAAUCGGGUUUAGACUGGGCAAGUAACGCUUGGCUCCUGACGCUUACCUUUUCUUACCUUGUACCUUUGAUUGACUGGAAUUAUUAUUUCUAGGCUCAAGUGAGAUGGAAGACGUUGUCCCGCCCGUAGCUCCUAUGGUACCGGAGGUCACUCCGGAGGUUGGUUGUACCGCGGAGGGUGGUCAGGGAGCUUCAUCUGAUCAAGCGCCAAUUAAAGAGGCGGGCGAAACUCUGUCAGCUGAGCCGGAGUCCGAGGUGGAGGUCAAUCCGUAGUGGCUGUGUCCACUUUAAACUGGGGAUUGUCCCAUUUAGUUUAAACUUAAUUUCAAACUUAUUUUUUGGCCUAAGGAGGCUUUAUCAUUUUUUUUUGAACAAGAUUUUUGCCUGAGGAGGCUUUUAAACCUUUCUAGGUUACGACCCAAGGGGGUUUGGUUAAAAUUAUAUGCGGGUUUGCAAAGUCCGCUUGGCCUUGUGGUUAUGCUUUUUGUGAUUUUUAGGCUGAUCAGACCUUUCUCUUAAGAAUGCGAGAACUGAGCUCGGCUUAAAACGAGUUCCCCACUUCGGGUUUAGUCAACUCGAUAAAUUUAUUGGGCCUGGGCCAUAGAAACUUUUGUAGUUAAUGCGACGGUUGCUUUUUCCCUUUUUAUUUCUUAAAAGUAGGGAAAACGGCUCAUCUUUAAUGCAAUAACUGUCUUUUCUCGAUUUUCCAAAAAUGGUUUAAACCACCCGGGCACGCUACCAUUAUUGGACUUAUGGUUCCAAGACAAAACCUAAAUCAUUAUAAAUAAGGGCUUACCUACUUCUAGGCUUUUAUUUAAACACGAUUUUAAAAUCCUACUUGAGAUAUAUUUCGAGAAUGGAAAACGAAAAAGUAGCACCCGUUGAUCCCGGCAGCCCACUCUUCUUGUCCGGCGACGGCUUUGAACCGGCCGGCGUUCUCUUCCCUCAUGCCGUCUUUCACUUUCCUUCAAAGGAGAAGAAAGAGGCUUGCGAUUUUAUUGACAAGGUAAAUAUUUAAAGUUUUGGAUUUAAAAACUUUUUGUUUCAUCUUAUUCACUCAUCUUUAUGCUAGGUCGCCGACAAGCACCAUCGUUUAUGUGAAGAGAGGCAGCGGCUGGGCCUCAAAAGGCAAACACUCGAGGCUCGCAUUGCUCGGGUGGAGAGGAAGAUACGGGCCCUGGAAAGUGACCCCUUUCAAUGGGAAUGGCGGAACUUUGACUCUGUCGCUGAGAUCCCGAAGAUGCUCCGGAUGUAUCUCCGCGCUAAAGGAGUCCCGGAUCCCGUGAAUGCCCCCGUCUGCGCCGUUCCAUCUGACAGCGAAGAAGAAGACGAAGAGGAGGCCAGCACCUGUCGGAAACGCGUUCGGGAUCAUCCCGAAGUGGAUGCCAAGAGCAAGGCGUCCACUUCGAAGACUAAACCGGCGAUGAAGGAGCCUGUUCCUGAGCCUCUUCCAUAAAUGUUCUUUAUCUUCUUCCCUUAUUUUAAACUCGUAAUGGGCUUCGCCCCCUUUUUAUUUAUGGAAACAUUUGCAACUUUCCUUUUUUUUCAAAUAUUCUCGGAGAUGCGUCUUUUAAUGCAGGAUCUGCUCGAGGGCAUAAAUCUCUCCGCGAAUCACUCCAUUCUUUGGAUAGAAUCCGCAGCUUGCUAAGGAUAUGGGGUUCCUAUAAAUUAUAGUUUCAAUUUCCCUUUACUCCUCACCAUUCUUUUUAUUUUAGUAGGUAUGGAGUUCAAUCUUCGCUGUUCAGAAUCUAUGCCUGACUUCUCCAGAAUCGGAAUGAUGAACGAAGGUGUUCCAAAUGAGCCAAACAGGCAGCCUCCUCCACCUCGCGGCUUCUUAAGAUCUCGGAUCCGAGACCCAUGUGCUUUGAUCAGGGAUCUCCCAAUCAGAGACCAAGGGACAGCGAUGGCAUUCAUAGAGGCACUCGCGCUUCAGCAUCGGAAGCUUACACUGGAAAAGAGGAGACUCCGGAAGAGGAUUAGCCGGAUGCAACGCAGGCUUACUAUGAUGUCAAGAGAUGUUCACAUCCUUGAAUCUCACCCCGGAGAGUGGAUUGAGCUUGGAAUAUCCGACUUUGCUCGAAUUCCAGACUGCAUGAUGCCAAUCCUCGAUCUUGCUGGUCAAGGAGUUGAAGUGUUCUGCUCAUCGACAAGAUUUUCAUAGUCCGAAGUGUACGAUGAGCGACAUCCCGUCUUUGAAUAAACGCUCUAUUUUCAACCUCUUGUAUGUUCGUAUAGCCGAACCUUUUUUUUUGCUUCACUUGUUCGCACAGUCGAACUUUUUUCCUUUAAUAAAGAAAUAAAACAAAUUUUUAUUAAUAGCUGAACUCGUUUCCGAGCUGCCUACGUACCCAUUUCGGGAUCAAGCCAAAUCGUAGUUCAUGUACAUAAACAAUGCAUGUAGCUUUAAACAUAAAACUUUUUUAGGUUGAUCACAUUCCAAGGUCGCUUGACCGGAUUACCCUCUAAGUUUUUCAACCUAUAAACACCGUUCCGAACCACUUCGGUAAUAAUGUAAGGUCCUUCCCAAUUAAUACCGAGUUUUCCGGCACCUUCUUCUUUUUUGUUGUCAAAGACGCGCCUUAAUAUAUAAUCUCCCACGAAGAAAGGCCUACUUUUAACCUUAGAAUUGUAAUACCGGGCUGCUGCCUGCUAGUAAUUCUGGAUCCGAAUUAGAGCUUGAUCACGCCUUUCAUUUAUAGUAUCUAGUGAAUCAUUAAGCAUUGCUGAAUUUUCUUCCUCAUUUAACGGUGCUUCUGUUCGGCGAAGUCCGGGCACAUUGAGUUCAGCUGGUACUACCGCCUCCAUGCCGUAAACCAAAGAGAAUGGAGUUUCUCCUGUAGGCCGCCUAGGGGUUGUACGAUAGGCCCACAGGACGGGUUGGAGUUCUUCAUACCAUCCUCCCUUUAGAUGACUUAAGCGUUUCUUGAGAUUGCUUAAUAUUGUCUUGUUCACGGCUUCAGCUUGACCGUUUCCUUGCGGAUAUCGUGGAGUAGAAUAACUAACUUUGAUUCCCCAGUCCGCACAAAAGGCAUCAAACUCGUGUGAAAUGAAUUGCGGUCCAUUAUCAGUGACUAUUUCGUAUGGAACUCCAUGUCGACAUAUAAUGCUUUUCCAAAUAAAGGUCUUCACCGCCGAAUCCUUGAUACCAACAUACGCCUCAGCUUCAAUCCAUUUUGAAAAGUAGUCCGUAAGGACUAAAAGGUAUUGUACACCUCGAGUUGAUUUGUGUAAUGGUCCAAUGAUGUCCAUUGACCACCUCAUAAACGGGUAUGGGGCGGAAAUGGAGGAGAAUAAUUCCGACGGUUAAUGGAUCAAUGGCGCAUGGAGUUGGCAGCGCUUGCAUCUUUGGGCGAACUUAACACAAUCUGUGAUCAUAGUGGGCCAAUAAUACCCCAUUCUUUUAACUUUAAAAGCCAUAGCUCUUCCUGAUGAAUGACUCCCACAUAAUCCUUCAUGCACUUCGCUCAUGACGAUUUCGACUUCGGGCCCAAAAAUGCAUAAUAGGUAAGGGUCACUGACACCUCGUCUAUAUAACGCAUCCUUUGACAGACAAAAUUUCGUGCUAACGACUUUCAUUUUCCUGGCCUGCCAUUUAUUCUUUGGGAGCUCACCUGUCAUGAUGUAGUGCUUUAUUGGCUCCCUCCAGUCAGCCCCCCAGUCUUUAGCCGGAAUUUGGUCAACUUUGUGAAAUAUUCGUGGCUCUGGCUCGGGAUGCUCGUCUGGUUCAAGAACAUCCUCCUCGAUUAACGGUUCGGUUUCUAACAUUGUUUCUGGAAUCACUUCUUCAGCUAAGACAACGGGUUCCUUGUUAGAUGUGUUUGAUCCCUUUGACUUCCUUCGUUUGUUGGGUGAUCUCUGGUUCGCCACGGUCACGUGCCGCUGCUCGAGAUCUUAUAACGACGAGGGUUUCUUUGUUGUCUUGAAUGCUUCGCUCCGAAAUGCAUUCCACUGGAAUGACUCUUUUCAACUCAGGAUCUGAUGUUGACGCCAAUGCGGCAAGUGCAUCCGCAGUUGUAUUCUCUCCCCGAGGUAUGCGGAUUAAUUCGAAUUUCGAGAAAUUUUUAGAUAAAUCUUUCACCACUUCGAGGUACGCUGAAUCUUUGGCUUCAUAGUCUCCAUUAAAUUGGUUAACUACUAAUUGCGAAUCGCAAUAAGCCAAUAUUUCCUUAGCUCCAAAUCCUUGUGCUAAUCGAAGUCCGGCAAUCAGGGCUUCGUAUUCUGCCUCGUUGUUGGAGGCAUUGAAUAACAACCGGAAUGAUUGUUCUAGAAUUUCUGAUGUUGGAGAUUCCAACUUGAUUCCCACUCCGGAUCCUUGCUUUGUUGAUGACCCGUCUACGUGUAAUUUCCAAGUUUGGUUCUCCGGCUGCUCUAUUGUUCCAGGUAUUGGUAACUCGGUUAAGAAAUCUGCUAAAACCUGAGCUUUCAUACUGAUCCGGCUUUUGAAUUCUAUAUCGUACUUGCUUAAUUCCACCGCCCAUUUCGCCAAUCGUCCGGACUGGCUUGGACUAUGAAGUAUUGUUCAGAGUGGCUGGUUGGUUAAUACCUCAAUCGGAUGGGAUUGAAAGUACGGGCGCAGCUUCCGAGCCGAUGUCACCACCGCGAGUGCGAGUUUUUCCAUCAUUGUAUAUCUGGUUUCCGGAUCCGUCAUUGACUUGCUCACGUAAUAAAUUGGUUUCUGCUCCCCACGGUCUUCCCGAACCAAGACUCCACUAACCGCGUGGUUUGAAACCGACACGUAUAAAUAAAGUUUUUCAUCCACUUCCGGUUUGGACAAUAUAGGCGGAGUGGUUAAGUAUGCCUUAAGCUGCUCAAAAGCUUCUUCACACUUCUCAUCCCAAAGGAAUCCUUUGUUCCCUUUUAGAAUUUGGUAGAAGGGCAACGACUUAUCUGUUGAUCUUGAGAUAAAACGAUUUAGAGCCGCAAUCCGCCCAGUCAACCGUUGUACUUCUUUGAAGUUUCUUGGAGAGGGCAUGUUUAGAAAGGCGUCAAUUUGAUUUAGAUUGGCUUCAAUCCCUCUUUCUGUCACGAUAUAACCAAGAAAUUCUCCGGACGGGACUCCAAAUGUGCACUUCGCCGGGUUCAGCUUCAUCUGAUAUUUGUUGAGAAUAUCAAAACAUUCCUCUAAAUGCUUAACGUGAUCCUCUUUUUUAAUGACUUAACUAACAUAUUAUCUAUGUAGACUUCCAUUGUUUUCCCGAGAUGAUUAUGGAACAUCUUGUUAACUAACCGUUGAUAAGUUGCUCCUGCAUUUUUCAAACCAAAAGGCAUCACCUUAUAACAAUAGAUACCUCUAUCUGUGAUAAAUGACGUCUUUUCUUGAUCUUCGGGGUUCAUCAUUAUUUGAUUAUAACCCGAGAAGGCGUCCAUGAAUGUUAACAGCUCGUUCCCAGCGGUGGACUCUACAAGUCGAUCUAUAUGUGGGAGCGGGAAACUAUCUUUGGAACAUGCUUUAUUUAGGUCUGUGAAAUCGAUGCAAACCCUAUCUUUCCCAUUCUUCUUUUUGACAACGACAGUGUUUGCUAUCCAUUCCGGGUAUUGCACUUCUCUUAUGGACCCUAUCUUUAAAAGUUUAUCUACUUCGUCAUUUACUAUUUUGGCUCGCUCCACUCCGAGCUUUCUUCUUUUCUGUUUCACCGGCUUGAAGCUCGGAUCUACGUUUAGCUCGUGACAAAUUAUACUUGGAUCUAUACCAGGCAUGUCUGCUGCUGACCAUGCAAACGAUGUUUUGUUUCUCUUUAAAAGUUCGACCAAAGCUUCUUUUAUUUGGCCAGUCAGAGUUGCUCCAAUUCGAAUUUUCCGGUCCGGCUUGUCUUCUUCCAACACCACUUCGAUUACUACAUCAUCUUUCUUCUGCCCGCUAGGAAAUUUUGUUCUUGGUCCCUCUUUUGCGGGCUUCGUUAAUUGCUAUUGAAUCUUCAUACGGUGGCUAGCUAGGUAACACGUCCGUGAAGCUUCUUGAUCUCCCCGAAUUGUUUCCACCCCAUUUGAUGUUGGAAAUUUGAUACAUUGAUGGUAUGUAGAGGGGACUGCUUUCAUUCGAUAAAUCCAGGGAGUCCCGAGGAUGAUGUUGUAAGCUGCGGGCUUAUCGAAGACAACGAAGUCCACGAUCUUCGAUACCUUCUUGGCAAGGACCGGUAGCUUGAUUGUUCCGAGAGACAUGGCUGACUCGCUUGUGAACGCAACUAACGGAGAUGGGGGUCCUACUAUGUCUCCUCGGCUGAUUCCCAUUCUUUCUAGAGUACUUAAAAAGAUCAAAUCGACCGAACUGCCUGUAUCUAUAAGGAUCCUUGAUACUUUGAAGUUGGAAACGUCAAGGGUAAUGACUAGAGCAUCAUCAUGCGGUCUUUCGAGGUACCGCGUUUCUUCUUCAUUAAAUGAUAUUGAUGCACCUUGAAAAUCGACUUCCUCGCUUAAGCUAGCUUUGAGUAGGAUGUUUCGUCUAUGUUUCUUGAUGGAACUUAUCGAAUCUCCGCAAAACUUGGAACCUCCUAGAAUCACAUUGAUCUUACCCUUCGAACUCCUUGGUUCUUCCUCGUUGGAUAACCUUGGUCUUUUGGAAUCUUGAUCUUUGGAGUUUUCCUUUGCUUCGUGGUAUUCCUUCACAAAAUCUUUUAUAUCGAAUUUGGAAAGAUCUCCAGUGGCCCAAAGCUCUGCGAGGUGCCUUUUAAGAACGCUGUAAUCCUUGGUUAAAUUUCCGGUCACUUUAUGAAUAUCGCAAUAUAGACUUUCAUCACGGACCCAAGUGUUUGAUCUUCCUUUCCCUUGGAAUUGCUUUCCGACGGUAUUGUUGAAGGGUUGCGACCCAAAUUUCCUUGGUCCUUUGCUCUCCCUAGGCUCGAACUUCUUGGUAGGGACGGUGAUUGCCGGCUUUUCUUGUUUAUUCCUUUUGGCAAAACUUUCUUUUUCGUCCUCUACCUCCAUCCAGUUGUUCGCGCGGAAGAGUGCAUCCUGAAUUGUGUCUGGUUUAUGGAGUAUUAAGUCUUCUUUAAACCUUGAAUCUUGUCGCAAUCCUUUUCGUAGGGCAGAUAAAGCUGAUUGCUGCGAGAUUCUUGGGAGCUUUGACAGCACUCCUUUGAAUUUGUUGAUGAAAACUCGAAGCGACUCAUUAGAUCCUUGCGAUAAGUUCCAAAGAUUGGCAUCCGAAACGCUUUUAUCCAUAAGGAUGGAGUAUUGCUUUAAGAAUACGGCUGAUAGUUCGUCGAAAUUGCUGAUCGAACCCGGCUCUAAUUGGGUGAACCACAUUAGAGCUUGGCCACAUAGAUUCUCCGAAAAAAGCUUGCAGUAGCCUGCGUCCUCAUCAGCUUCAUCCAAUUCGACUCUUCCAGCAGCGAUCAGAAAAGCUGCGAGAUAGCUUUUAGGAUCCUCCAAUCCGCUGUAAGGGUCCAACUUGAGUUUCCGGGAAUCUUUGAUCCUCAAACUUGCAAUUCGCGAGAUGAAAGGUGUUCGCCUAGCUUCUUCAAUGACUCGAUUGAUGUCUGGCUCCGAACUUGUAGCUUGAUGAAAUUUUGAUUUCAUUUCUUUUAAUUCCUGGCUAAUCUUCCUCAUGGUCUCAAACUGGUCGAGGUUCUCCUGCUCGUACUGAGCUGCAAGUUGUUCUUCAUCCCCGAGCUGUGUCUCUUCCUCCAACGUCUGAACUACAUUAUUAGUAGCACCGGAAGUCGUUUGUCCGCUGGUUUCAUUUCGUGCAGCGGAACUUGGCGAGUUGAAUAUCCCUCUUCGGAUUCCCACAAGGUUUCUUGCACUUAAAGAGCGAACACGAGUUUGUAUAGUAUUGACGUUUUGACUAAGAGAUACCUGGGAUGUUUGCAACGUAUCGACGGCCUUUUCCACAUCCGAGAACUUUUGUGAUAUGUCCGACAUGGUUUGCUGCAUAGCUUUGAGGGUUUCGGCCAAUAAUGUCUCAACGGCGUCUCCUCCGGACAUUGUUGCUUAUCUCGGAAAUGUAGUAAAGAAAAAAUCUGACCACUCAAGAAUCCCAACUCCCCACAGCGCCAAAAUGUGGAUGUCGGAUUCACACACUCAAGUAUUUUAUUAAGUUGGAAAGAUUAUUCUUGAGGGACAAAAAUGAAUAUGUAAAAACUUCUAAAUUGCUACGAAAAUUGCUAUAGUAUUUCUCCCUUGAGAGGAAGAUCCCCUCUACACGGCGAUUGGCCUUUAUAUUUAUACAUAGAGAAUCGACAUUAAAAUGAAUAAUUAAGUACAAUUAUUCCCUCUUAAAUGUGUCCGUUUUGAUUCUUCGACUUUAAUGCUCAACGUUUGAAUUUGAGUUGACUCUGAUCUUCAUGGGCCUCGCCUUUUUAGCCCAAGUGUCCUUGAACCGACUUACCCGUGUCUUCUACACCGAACUCGUGUCACAGUGCAGCCACUUCGAACUCUCGAAGUGGUGACAACCACUUCGACCGUUCCUUCGGCUCAUGGGUUCAAUGGGCUUUGUCCUUUAUGGGCCAUUACCUCGACUACGUGGCAAUCUUUGGUUGGUCUCGGACUUCUGGUGCGGGAUCCGACACCAACAACAUCAUUGGGUUCUUAUAAUUUGAAUAUUUAUGUCACUUUUACUUUGUUUAAUAGUUAAUAUAUAUAAUUGGGUUGGGUUCAAACUCAAAGUUGGAUUGGGUUCAAACUCAAAUUGGACUCAUAUAUAUUUAAAAACUUAGUGUAAAUUAGAACGUUUUUAAAAACUUUAUUGGUGUCAUUUGCACCCAUAAUGCUCUACUUGCCUCUGCCCCUCUCACCAGGGUUCGAGUAACGAUAUUGGUACUCCAGAGUUGAGAAGUAUAAAUGUUUCCUCUCGGCUUCCAUCGAGUGUCGAUGGUUGGCUUCCAUUGAAUGUCAAUGGAUGAUGAAUGACAGAGGUCGUCAUGACACAAUCUGGUGUCCGGAUCUUCCCUGAAGCGAAGAUUCGGGUCGGGAAAGUCUAUCACAGAGAAUCAUGCCUUUGAUGAUAGCCGAAUUGAGGUAAUCCAAAUUACCUCU